GCUUUCUGCCAUUUUAUUGCCUCUCUUUUCAAUGUUUCAUUGCAUUCUUUUAUGAUAUAUAACAUGUGGGAACAGCUAAAGCUUACAUUUAACUUUAUUUUCCUCAUUACUUGAUAAUAUAUCAAACAAAAGACAAAACCUACUAACUGAUCAGAUCCUUCAAUUUCUCUAUAAUUACCAAAACAACCCCCUUAAGAGAGAGGAAGCUUAGGCACAAUGACCUUUAUAACCCCAUUCUCCAAGUGGGCCCUAAUCCUUUCCACGUCAGCAUUG
rnacentral:misc_RNA from 1 species